ensembl:lncRNA
CACAUGCCUUGACUGAUCACAUCUGCAUUUGGUAUGAGUGGAAGACCGUGACGUAUCUCCUUUAAUUCUGUAAACUUACUCUGUAUAAUACACUGUGAACAUGCUGCUAUUCUACCUGUGAGUGGUGUGGGCACACAAGUCCAUAAUGUUGAUGUAACGAAUAUAUACGACUAUAUGUAUGAAUUAUAUACUACAAUAAUAUAGCGUAGGUAUGAGUUGUACAAGGUUGUAGUAACAGGUGAGUAUGUAACUGAUUCAGUCUCUUACUGGAAGCAAGUAAUGUCCUAAUUCUGGAAACAGAUUGUUUGGAAAGUCUACACUAAAUCAGAGGUACGUAUAGGCCAAUCAGAAGAAAAACCAGGAUCGCAACUGAGCUUGGACAGUUACCCAAAAUGACUCUGCACUCUGUGGAUUGGAAGUGCGUUGACUCCCUUUUAAUAUAAAAAACAGGUAAGUAAAGAAAACCAACAAAACAAAAACAAAACUCAAUAUUAUUACUACUACCUGGGUAGAAAAUAAAUUAUUGACUUAAGUGUACCCUGUAGCAAGUCAUAAGUGUGAACUUAAAGUAAAGUGAUAACAGUUCACUAUUUAGAUAAUGAAUCCAAGCUUUCAAAUGACAAUACACAGUUUAUGUAUGUAUUUGUAUUAAUGGAUGUCUUUGUGUCACACAGCAUAUGGAACCUUUUGGAACGUCCAGUCCGUGGAGAGUGCAAAUUGGUGCUCCACCUUGUGGACAGGUGCUCUACAGUGUCCUUCACUGUUAAAGCCAUCUUUACCUCAGUCCAGCAGAACUGUCCUCCCCUCUGAAAUAUAAUGGUUCUCCCAUCGACUUGACAGUCUUCAUGGACACACAGCUGGGGUCAGGUGAGUCUGGCCUCUUCCUCUGAAUCAGACUAAAACAUUCCAGUAGGGAAAAUCAUGUUAAAUUCAUGCAGAGGACAAAUUGUGUAAUUUGGAUAUUUAGCUUUUUUAGCUAGAGUUUAAUGAACAUUGAUAAUGAUAAUAAAUAACAAAAACAGAGCUAAUUUACACGUUUAAGAUAAAACUGGAACUACAUCAUUAUCCACUGAACAUCCUGCUUUCUGGUAACAUCGUGCCUUCAAACUCUGGGAGGCUGGAGUGCAGGGCAGCUUUAUACGUAGUGUUAGCUUAGUAAUACUUUAGGCUUGCUUACUGUAAGAGAGUUAGAACGUGCACUAAUCCAAUAAUGAUGACCCUCAUAAUCAGACACUGUACUGAUUUCCUGAGUAAACUCACUGAGCUUCUCUGCACAUGGAGCUCUGUGGUGCUUCUGUGCUGUGAAGCCCUGUCUUUGGUCAUCUUGUGUGGAGUUAUACCAAACUGUGGUCAGGAAAGAAGUGAUUCCAGUGAUCCUGCAUAGCUGCCUGUUCUUUUAGCCACUCAGAGAAGUUUGAUUCAUUUUAUCGUUCAUAGUGAGUCAAACCUAAUUCUAACCACAUCAGCUCGUCUGCACAACCUGAAUUAAGUCCUGCAUGCAGGUUGAGAGAUGUUUUUGUGAAAAUGGUUUGAGAGACGAUUUAUUCCUGGUGUUUUUUAGCAAAAUGAACCUGGUUUAUCCAGUUUAAAGGGAAAGAUGCAAUAUUUAAACACCACACAUGCCUUGACUGAUCACAUCUGCAUUUGGGAUGAGUGGAAGACCGUGACGUAUCUCCUUUAAUUGCAAGCAAGCAAGCAAAAUGUAUUUAUACAGCACUUUUUACAACAG